rnacentral:rRNA from 1 species
UGACGGUACCUGAUGAAUAAGCUCCGGCUAACUACGUGCCAGCAGCCGCGGUAAUACGUAGGGAGCGAGCGUUAUCCGGAAUUAUUGGGCGUAAAGGGUGCGUAGACCGCUGUUUAAGUCAUUUGUAAAAGUGCUAAGCUCAACUUAGUGAGGCAAAUGAUACUGGACAGCUAGAGUACAGAAGAGGCAAGUGGAACUUCAUGUGUAGCGGUAAAAUGCGUAAAUAUAUGGAAGAACACCAGUGGCGAAGGCGGCUUGCUGGUCUGAUACUGACGUUGAUGCACGAAAGCGUGGGGAGCAAACAGGAUUAGAUACCCUGGUAGUCCACGCCCUAAACGAUGAGUACUAAGUGUUGCCGAGAGGCAGUGCUGAAGUUAACGCAUUAAGUACUCCGCCUGAGUAGUACGUACGCAAGUAUGAAACUUAAAGGAAUUGACGGGAGCCCGCACAAGCGGUGGAGCAUGUUGUUUAAUUCGACGAUACGCGAAGAACCUUACCAGGUCUUGACAUACCUUGCGAAGCUAUAGAGAUAUAGUGGAGGUUAACAAGAGUACAGGUGGUGCAUGGUUGUCGUCAGCUCGUGUCGUGAGAUGUUGGGUUAAGUCCCGCAACGAGCGCAACCCUUAUCUUUAGUUACCAUCAUUAAGUUGGGGACUCUAGAGAGACUGCCAGUGAUAAAUUGGAGGAAGGUGGGGAUGACGUCAAAUCAUCAUGCCCUUUAUGACCUGGGCUACAAACGUGCUACAAUGGCUGAAACAAAGAGAAGCGAAAUCGCGAGAUAGAGCAAACCUCAUAAAAGCAGUCUCAGUUCGGAUUGAAGUCUGCAACUCGACUUCAUGAAGUUGGAAUCGCUAGUAAUCGCGAAUCAGAAUGUCGCGGUGAAUACGUUCCCGGGCUUUGCACACACCGCCCGUCAA